rnacentral:rRNA from 1 species
GACGAACGCUGGCGGCGUGCUUAACACAUGCAAGUCGAACGGAAAGGCCCUGCUUUUGUGGGGUGCUCGAGUGGCGAACGGGUGAGUAACACGUGAGUAACCUGCCCUUGACUUCGGGAUAACUUCAGGAAACUGGGGCUAAUACCGGAUAGGAGCUCCUGCUGCGUGGUGGGGGUUGGAAAGUUUCGGCGGUUGGGGAUGGACUCGCGGCUUAUCAGCUUGUUGGUGGGGUAGUGGCUUACCAAGGCUUUGACGGGUAGCCGGCCUGAGAGGGUGACCGGCCACAUUGGGACUGAGAUACGGCCCAGACUCCUACGGGAGGCAGCAGUGGGGAAUAUUGCACAAUGGGCGGAAGCCUGAUGCAGCAACGCCGCGUGCGGGAUGACAGCCUUCGGGUUGUAAACCGCUUUCGCCUGUGACGAAGCGUGAGUGACGGUAAUGGGUAAAGAAGCACCGGCUAACUACGUG